rnacentral:rRNA from 1 species
UACAGAGACUGCAAGCGUUAUUCGGAUUCACUGGGCGUAAAGGGUGCGCAGGCGGCCAAGUGUGUGAGGCGUGAAAGCCCGGGGCUUAACCCCGGAAUUGCACCUCAAACUACAUGGCUAGAGCAUUGGAGAGGGUAGCAGAAUUCAUGGUGUAGCAGUGAAAUGCGUAGAUAUCAUGAGGAAUACCAGAGGCGAAGGCGGCUACCUGGACAAUUGCUGACGCUGAGGCGCGAAAGCUAGGGGAGCAAACAGG